rnacentral:rRNA from 1 species
GAUGAACGCUGGCGGCGUGCCUAAUACAUGCAAGUCGAGCGAACAGACGAGGAGCUUGCUCCUCUGACGUUAGCGGCGGACGGGUGAGUAACACGUGGAUAACCUACCUAUAAGACUGGGAUAACUUCGGGAAACCGGAGCUAAUACCGGAUAAUAUAUUGAACCGCAUGGUUCAAUAGUGAAAGACGGUUUUGCUGUCACUUAUAGAUGGAUCCGCGCCGCAUUAGCUAGUUGGUAAGGUAACGGCUUACCAAGGCAACGAUGCGUAGCAGACCUGAGAGGGAGAUCGGGCACACUGGAACUGAGGCAAGGUCCCGACUCCUACGAGCGGCAGCAGUAGGGAAUCAUCCGCAAUGGGCGGAAGCCUGACGGAGCAACGCCGCGUGAGUGAUGAAGGUCUUCGGAUCGUAAAACUCUGUUAUGAGGGAAGAACGAAUGUGUAAGUAAAUAUGCACGUCUUGACGGUACCUAAUCAGAAAGCCACGGCUAACUACGUG